UACGAAGGGUGCAAACGUUGCUCGGAAUUAUUGGGCGUAAAGCGCACGUAGGCGGCUUUGUAAGUUGGAUGUGAAAGCCCUCGGCUCAACCAAGGAAGUGCAUCCAAAACUACAGAGCUUGAGUACUUAAGAGGAUCGUGGAAUUCCCGGUGUAGAGGUGAAAUUCGUAGAUAUCGGGAGGAACACCAGUGGCGAAGGCGGCGAUCUGGGAAGAUACUGACGCUCAUGUGCGAAAGCGUGGGGAGCAAACAGG
rnacentral:rRNA from 1 species